CGUGGGUAACCUGCCCAAGAGACUGGGAUAACACCUGGAAACAGAUGCUAAUACCGGAUAACAACACUAGACGCAUGUCUAGAGUUUAAAAGAUGGUUCUGCUAUCACUCUUGGAUGGACCUGCGGUGCAUUAGCUAGUUGGUAAGGCAACGGCUUACCAAGGCAAUGAUGCAUAGCCGAGUUGAGGGACUGAUCGGCCACAUUGGGACUGAGACACGGCCCAAACUCCUACGGGAGGCAGCAGGG
rnacentral:rRNA from 1 species